UACGUAGGUGGCGAGCGUUGUCCGGAUUUACUGGGCGUAAAGAGCGCGCAGGCGGUCGUUCAAGUCGCGUGUGAAAGCCCCCCGGCUCAACUGGGGAGGGUCACGCGAUACUGAUCGACUCGAAGGCAGGAGAGGGAAGUGGAAUUCCCGGUGUAGUGGUGAAAUGCGUAGAUAUCGGGAGGAACACCAGUGGCGAAGGCGACUUCCUGGCCUGUUCUUGACGCUGAAGCGCGAAAGCUAGGGUAGCAAACGGG
rnacentral:rRNA from 1 species